rnacentral:rRNA from 1 species
GUGAUGGAUGAUUUGGUUACUGAACUGAUGAAAGACGUCUCAAACUGCGAAAAGUGGUAUGCAGAGUCCUCCAUAAAUAUUAUAUUUCUGAACACUUCGGUGCGAGGUU